CCAUGAGGAAGAAACUAACAUAUACUGGAUGCCACCUGUGUCCUAGACACUUUACAUGACUAAUUCAUUUAAUCCUGAGGACAAGCCUGUAAAGCAAGAAGACAAAGAAAUCCUAGCUUAGAGAGGUUUAGUAACGUGCAGAUCUGAACUGAUCUUAUGCUCUGACCCAAUCAUCUUAUAUAAAGGUAUAAGAAGCGUACAGGGAAGCCACUGCCACCAUUGAGGACCCAUUCCAGAUGGCACAGAUGCUUCACCUCACAGGACAACUCCAGGCGACAGUCACUGCCUGUGACAUUACAAUGAGAGGACUCUGAGCAGACUCUGGGCUCUGCAGGAUGGAAGUGAAAUGCCUCAGUACCUGGCCUGGGCCCAUCCCUGUCCAAGGUGACUCAGCUGAACAAAGGGCAGGCACCACCCUUCCCAGAGAAGGAACCAGCUGGGACAAGAGCCACCACCAUCAAAGAAGGGAAGGCAAAGAGACUGAGCAAAGGCUGAAGAGGACACACAGCAGCAGCUUCCUGCAGGUAAGAGUGGGGCCCAUAUCAGCUGGGUCACGGAUGAACAAGACUUGUUCUCACCCCAUCUCCUUCCCUCCCUGCCUCUGCCCUCAGAACUUCCUAGAAAGUUUCAACCUGCUUCACUCUAGGAGUGAUGUGUGCCUAGAGUUUCCUUUUCUGACCCCAGCCCCAGGCCAGGUCUGAGAGCUGAGUGAUUUUCUGAACUGCUUUCCACUUCCAUCCUCACCCCCAUUCUCUUUCCCAGACAUAUGCCAGAGGCUGGUUCAAAUGACAGCUGGACCAUGGCACUCACUUUGCUGCUUAUCAUGAAGACCCCAGGCAAUGGCACCCACACUUUGUUCCUUGAUUUGGCUCUUGGCAGCAUACAUCCGGAUGAAGCGAGAGGCCAUGGACAAAGAGCCUGUUUCCAAAAAACAGAGCCAGGCCUCUGCUUAUUACCUCUUUCUCUGAAGCUGUUUCUACCAACAACUCUCCUGCUCUCACCAGGAAAAACCUGCUGGGAAACUGGGCCAAUGGCUUUACUUCUCUAAGAACUUGUGUCCUCAUGUGGAAGCUGGAAAUAACUCAGCUAGGAUGGAAUGAAAUGAUGGAAAUGAGGAGUGAGUACUCAGGCACCACAGAAGAGGGGCUCAGGAAAGGACUUAGAAUGAGUCUGCCUGGCUGGACUGGGAUAUACUGACUGUAUUCAGUGCCCCAGCUAGUAAUUACACACAAACACUUUUCACCUGGGUUCUUGCCUACGUUCUUUCACUCUGCCCCUAUCUCCAAACACCAGCCAGGAGGGCUGGAUAAGCUGAACAGUGGCACUCAUUCUGCUCCUCAGAAUUCCCCAGUGGCUUCCAUUUUACCAGAGGAAAUGCUGUCGUCCUCACCAAGACCUGCAGAUCCUAUAGGAUCUGAUGCCUCACCUCUUCUCCAGCCUCCUCCUCCACUGCUGUCCCUUUGAAUAGCUGUUAUCAGUCUCAGUGAUCAGAUGCUCCUAAACAUAGCAG
rnacentral:lncRNA from 1 species